rnacentral:rRNA from 1 species
CGGUUCGAUUUAAUUCUGGUUGUGGAAGGGUUUAAAGCAGUGCCACAUGGGUUUCGUUUGUUGGUCAGGCGGAUCGUGAGGUUUUUGGUCUUUGCCCAGUGGUUGGAUCUUGGUUUUUGAGGUGUCUCAGAUUGGGCUGUUUUAGAGGGGUGGAGAAUUCGCAGUGCCAGCAUCCGCGGUUAUUCUGCUAACCUUCUCUUCCGUUUGGUUCAAAUGCUUUGUGGAGUAUCAGGCGCUCUUUGGGUAGAAUUUUUGAGUUUCGUUGAAAUGUGUCUGCAUCUCUUUUUGACGCUUUUUAGGAAAAGGAUUAGAGACCCUUGUACUAGGUGUGACACUUUGUGGCCAUGGUGGGAACUAAAAGGAUUUGGCAGCUGAUGAGGUUCUUCCGGGGGAGUGUGUGGCGUAAGAGAUAGUCCACUUAGGAUCCUGCCAUCGUUACGAGUUAGUGUACGUCCGGUUUAAGAUUCGUGGUUUGUGUCAAGGAGUGUCAUGGUUUGAUUUAAUCCAGGUCAAUGUGCUGCUUACGCGAUGGUGCUUGUGCACUACUGUUGGAAUGGUCUUCGAUGUAAGGGGAGGAUGUUCAGGACUCGGAAGUAGGUGGAUUGAGGUUUGUUCCAUCGAAUCUGGAUUUAGUUGGGGUACAUACCGCCCGUCACCCAGGGUGCUAACUGUGGUAAGUCGUAACAUGGUAAUGCCGGGGGAACCAGGCAUUAGUUGGCAUCGCUUCGGGGCGAGGGGUGCCU